ACACAGUCUCACUCUUUAAGUCUUAGACAAUCUCAUCAAUAUCCACAGAGAAAGUGAAAUGACACCUACCUGUCUGAAAGAUAGCCAAAUAUCAGACUUCCCAGCAGUGCCCCAGUCAUGAACACUACUUGGAC